UUGCAAUGAUGAGUAUAGGAACUUAUUGAAAGUGUCUCAAUACUUGAUGAGAUUGUCGACAACCUUGUCGAUCCUGAGCGGUUACCUGAGCAA
rnacentral:snoRNA from 11 species